CCCCUGCCCCUGCCCCUGCCCCGCCGGGCCGGUCCCGCCGCUCUUCCCUCGGCCCUGACAGGUAUUGCGUUGUUCCAGUCUCCCAUGAUUCCCCCUCAAGUUUGAUUCACCAGACGAGGUUCUGCUUUUUUAUCUUCUUGCUAUAAGACUUUGGGUAGGAUUUCGCAGCUGUGAAUGAGAGCUAGACCUAUUGAGACACUGCACUUCUGGCAAACACAUUUAAAACUUAAUCAAAUAAGGUACCCAUGAAAACAAAGCAAAUUUUAAAUCAAAUAUAUUCAUAUCUGCGUCGGGUGAGGACAACCCCAGUCUUGGCCAGUGAUCAUCCAGGUAAGGAACUUGGCCAAUUCACCUUUCUGCAUCUCAGGUACCUGGAUUUCAUUCCCACAGAAGGCAAAUGAAAAAUUCCUAACUGGUGAGUGGCUAAAUGUACCCCCAGACUGGCAGCAGGGCAUGGAUAGACUGUCUGACCAGACACAGGACCUCAGACACAACCCUGGUGCCCACCAGUAUAGAUGUCGUCAUAUUUUCUAAAAUUAUUUCAAUUCAGCUAGGCAAAAGAAAAUUUUAUAAUCAGAUUCUUCCACAAAAUUUCACGGUCCUGCAAUAACUUUUGAUGUUAGCUCUCACUUGAAACAGUUCAGAAAGAAAUCUAUUUUUUAAGAGGGCACAUCCCAAUAUUCUGACUUUCCGUUUACUUUCUGUACGUAAGCCCAGUAACUGGUAAUUUCAUUCUAUUUUCAGCUGUUUACACAUCUAUUUACUUCUAAUGGAAGCAUUGAGUUAAUAUAUUUCACAUUUGUACAUUAUUACUUAACCGAUCUUGUCAGAAUUACAGUGAAUCCCUAAGACAUAAUUUUAUACAAACAAUAAAUAAUUUUAUCUAAAGAGUCUUGAAAAACAGCCUGCUUACAAGGCACUAAUUCUCAUUCCCACUGAGAAACCAUGCAGUAUGAAAUCAGUACUUUGGGAGUUUAAAUUGCAAAAUUAAUCAUACCACCAUAAGUGUCAGAAAUGAAAUAGCAAUGACUGAAAUUCCUAAACUUAGUUCUUGAGAUUUGCACAAAUCUCCAGAUCUCCAUUGCUGAAGUUUUGUUUCCUCAGACUGUAUUUUGGAAUUUUCACCAGGAAGAUUUCUCUUGCGUAGGACAUGUGGGCUGUUCAGGUGAGAAUAACCAAAGACUAAAAAGGGAUUAUUCCUGAAGAUCCCACGGUUCCCAGACAAUUCAGCAAAAGCACAUGAUCACUUUGUUUCUCCACAUGCAGCCCAUCAGUGACACAGACCAGCAGCAAUACAGGCCUACAAAAAUCAAACUUUCAACCAUGACUGCUGUUACUGUACACCACAGAUUUCUGCACAAGUACAAUGCUAACAGGAGGGGUGUAAUUAGUGCAUCUUUAAAAGAGCAAAAUAACCUAUCUGUAGUAGCUUGAUUUGGAAAAAUGGGACAUUGAGCUGAAAGACCCAUGGUAAAUUGCCUCUAAAGCAUAAUUAAAGUUGUUUGUAUUCUA